GAAGCAGCAUUAUUUUCUAAAUAAUACCAAAUUCUGCAAUAAAAUAAAGUUUUUACUUUCUGUUAUCUAGAAAAUCAUCAAAAUAUGCAUUCGCAUGUCAGUAACAAAUGAAUGUUCUCUAUUUUCCAUCAUCUUCAUAACAGAUAAGGUAAGGGAAAGAGAGAAUAUGUUCUUGCAGAACAAAAUCAAAAGGGCAUCUACCAUAUCUUGUGCAUAAAGCUUC
rnacentral:misc_RNA from 1 species